UACGUAGGGGGCAAGCGUUGUCCGGAUUUAUUGGGCGUAAAGAGCGCGUAGGCGGCUCGGUAAGUCGGAUGUGAAACCUCCAGGCUCAACCUGGAGACGCCAUCUGAUACUGCCGUGGCUUGAGUCCGGUAGGGGAGCACGGAAUUCCUGGUGUAGCGGUGAAAUGCGCAGAUAUCAGGAGGAACACCGGUGGCGAAGGCGGUGCUCUGGGCCGGAACUGACGCUGAGGAGCGAAAGCGUGGGGAGCAAACAGG
rnacentral:rRNA from 1 species